CUGUGACAGCCUGAGAGCUGGGACUUUACGUGUAACAACAACACACAUCUUCACUUCCCAGGGGAGCACCCAAGCUGUUAAUAAGGGCCUGGAGGUGGAAAGCAUCAGGUUCAAAAGCAGAGGGAGCAGCAGUAGCUGUGAGAAGCAGCCUUACAAACUGGAACCAGAGCUGGCAGCAGUGCUGGAGCACUGGGCAUGGAUCAGGCUGGAGAAAAAGAAUUAACAGUUCCAUGCUCAGAAGCCUGGAGAGUGAGAAAGCAGCUGUCACCCGUGGAGGGAGGGGAAAUGCUGAGCUGCCACACAUAAACUCAGCGGGCUGUUUAAAGACGAUGCACACAUCUGAAUGCUCUCACUGCUGCUGUUCCUCUCUGAAUUUGGCCUUGGCACCAUGGCAAG